GGCUCUUAGAGAGGCAUCCAGGUUGCAUAGGACAGAUCUUCCCGUUCUGGCUGUUCCCGCCUGCCACCUUAGACUAUUGCUGUCCCUUGAACUCCACAGUGUGCUUUGUUGGAAGAAAACAAGUGUGUGGAUGGGAUUGCUCCAGGUUGACCUGGCAAAGGUAGCAACAGGACAGGAUGUGGCUUUUGUACUCUGGAAGUCUCAGAAGCUAUGACAGUCUACAUAAUACCUGCACAAGAUGCGGCCUGUCCAAAUUCUAUCAUGAGCACGGAGGUGGCUCACAACACUCCCUGUCCCCGAGGACCUGUUGGUAGUUAAUUGUUGCUGGGAGAGGAAGUAGCAUUUUUGAAGUCCAGAGUGUGAACCAUUACACAAUUGAACCUCCUUGGAAAGGCAUGUCUUCAGUGGCAUAGCCACUGGAACUAUCAUAUGACCUAGAAAGUUGGAAGCAUUGUUCUGAUCCCUAGAAUACUUGUGCAGCCUGUACACAGAACAUUGAUCCUUCAAGGAAGUGGCUCACAUCCAAUUUCAAAGUAGCCUGAAAUAAAUGGUAUAUAUAUAAUUAUUAAUCCAAAUGUGUCAUUCUCUGCGG